UAUAUGCGCAUAGAAACCACAUAAUUUAAAGGAAAAUUGAUUUCAUAUAUAAACAAAAGAUGGUGAACAAACUUUUUGUAAAAUACCAAUUACAUGUGAAUAGCAUAUCAAUGGCGAAGGAAGGAGAUGCCAACCCCACAAAUUGUUUAUAGCCCAUCAACAAAAUCAGCUGGGGAGUCGGAAAUCUCCACCGGCUUCCACCGAAGUUUGGGCGUUGUACAGAAGAGGUGUAAUGAAGGUUUUUAAAGUAUGAAAAUUUUUUAAAAGAAGAUAAGGAAAUAAAAAAUAAAGUAUUAAAAUUUUUUAAUUUGAUUAAAAAAUGAUGGUUUAGAUGUUUAAUUAAAUUAUUUAUAAAUUUUUUACUUUUGAAAACUCAUAUUUUACUUCUGAUAAACCUCUCCAAAACAUAGUAAAGUUCAUGGGCCACUGAUAAUUUGAUUCAAUGAAGCCAACGACGCCAAGCCACGAACUAGAUCGUACCGGCUUGAUCAAUCCUGCUCCGUAAAGCAUCAUAUGGAGAGGGGAAAAAAACCUGCAUUGAUCGAGCUUGCGAGGAGAUGUGAAGGAGGACCCAGGGAUCAGCUCAGCAUAAAGACCAUAAGGACACAAGAGAGUGCUAUUCUGUCCACGAGGCAAAGCUCCAGGGAUGGCCUCCGACUCGAAGCGCUUGCCGAAUCCUGAUUGGUAAUCGUGGUUGUAGGAAGGGAAAUCACGGCAGCGGGUUUUGCUGACCAUCUUUUCUUGUUGGUGGAAGUUUGUCUUCUCGAAAGCUUGGAUUCGUGGUUGUUGCCCUUAAAAACCAAGAAUUGGGAGUUAGAAAGAGUGAUUCAAGAUGAUGAAUAUGAGAGUGUAGUAAUGUAUUUACGAGAAGCUGUUUACUCAAAGCCUCCAGUAAUGGCUGCCUUGCUUCCCUUGAUGCAGGUUGAGGGCUUACCUCUUGGAGCGUGUUGAUCCUACUAACAGUUUUGCUCUUUCAACUUGUGUUGAGGACAGCUUAAAGAGUGAUCCUACAUGUAGUGAGUCAUUGGCAAGGCAUAUCAGCCUGCAUCAAAAUGGGAAUUAUAGCCCUGAAUCCCUUUUGGAAAUGAUUGCUUUACAUUUGGAUGCUGUCUUUGUGGAAUACAAUACAUGGAGAGAGUUUGCUUAAUGCUUUCUUAAAGUCUCUCAUUAUGAAGAGGAUCGUAUGUCCGUAUAUGUCUUAAUGGAAGUGACGGUGGAAAAAAACAAUGUUACUCGGUUCGUUACAAUAGAAUCCCCAAAAUUUUUAUACAAGGGAAGUCAGGAUAGGCUUGGAGGAUUGGCUGCCAUUGGUGGCUGGCACGUCACUUCAGCAAGAACCUGGUUGCAUCUGCAGGUAAUCUAGCUUCUUCCUUUUCUUUGAUAUGGGUUUGUCUCGCUUUUUAUUUGGUAGAAUCAAUUUUUUUUAUCCUUGAACUUUCGAGUUUCAUAGUUUUUCUCAUUUAUUUCUUGCUCAAACUUCAAGAUUUAAGGGGCUGCCAGCCUUCAUCCAGUACGCCAUGGUACUUAAAAUAUCUUGUUGUCACUUUUAUUUGCAACGGGUGAUUUGCAGCUCCUAACUUACAAAGCAGCAUGUGCAUCCCAUAUGUAUGGGUCACAGUUUGAAUAUGGUGUAAAGGCUUACACUGCUUACAGAAGGAAAACAAUAGGAAAUUGCUCAUGUUCUUGCAAUUACACAUGCAGAAUUCCGUUGGACUUCUAAACUUUCAACAGAGAACCAACUGAUAUUUUUCCCCCUAAAUGAAAGCUGUGAUUCUUACUAAUUACUAUACGGUGAGUGAUAUCCUUUUCUAUCGUGUCCCAACUUCUAUGCCCCCGUGUGUGCAUCUUGCCUUAUGCAAAUGGGAGAAGCUAAUACAUAUUGCAUUUCCUAUUAGGUCCUGUCAAUGAUUAGCAAAUUGGAGUUAGAAGAUUGCAAGUGAAUUGGUCGAUAUAAUUAGAUCACCAACCAAUCCGUCUUUAAACACUCUUGUUUUAAGUAUUAUUUCUCUGACACAUCUCUUUAUUCUGGUCAACAAACAAGUGAGCGAAGUCAUUUUGAUACUACCAUCCCACUCGUUAUAAAUUACAUUAAUGCAUGAAUCAAUUUAACUUGUUGAGAUUAAGAAAACAAAUGAAAAGCAUAAACAUAUUUCAGAUUUUCUUAUCUCAAUUCCUUGUGAUGUUUGCAUACAGAAUUUCAAUUAAAGUCUCAACAGAACAGAGUUGGGUAUCGUGGUGGGUUUUUUUAAUUUUUUCGGUACUACACUGAAAGCAUACUUGUGGAUGCGUAGCAUUCUUAGAAGAGGCAGGUCUUUUAUUUUCAUUCAAGCAAUAUGGCAAACAAUCCCAGACAGCUUCUCUAAUUUUAAGUUUCAGUUGAUGAUUUUGUGAAGUAGAAGAUGAACUAGACUGAAGCUUCUCAAAUUCAGCCUCAAGCAACUACUUGAAAUCAGUCAACUUUGAAAAGUCCAGUCCCAAACAAAGUCAUAGACAACGAAGCCUAACAAUGAAGUUCAGCCCAUUCACGACAGCUGAACAGCUUACUUGCUAAAUUUUAAGUUUUUUCUUUUUCUUUAAUCCAAAUUGAUCAAACUCGAUCCAGUAGUUCAAAUAAAAAGUCAAAUUAAUCUAAUUAUGUAACUUUUAUAUAACUUUAAAUUAACAUAAGAGUUUAUAUUGUAGUUA